UACGAGUGCUUCGAGCGUUAUCCGGAAUCAUUGGGCGUAAAGGGUGUGUAGGCGGUUAUGUUAGUCUCCCGUUAAAUUCUUCGGCUCAACCGGGGGCAUGCGGGGGAAACGGCAUAACUUGAGGAUGGAAGGGGUCUCUGGAACUCAUGGUGUAGCGGUGAAAUGCGUUGAUAUCAUGGGGAACACCGAAAGCGAAGGCAAGAGACUGGUCCACUCCUGACGCUGAAACACGAAAGCGUGGGUCGCGAAUGGG
rnacentral:rRNA from 1 species